GAAAAGAAACAAAAAACUGAAGAAAAACCAUAUGAAAUUGAUUUAUAUUGUAAUCAUCCUGUUACUGGUGAAUUAGUGAGGAAAAUACUUAAAGUACAUAAAGAUGAAUUACUACCCUGUGUACUGGAUAAAGCUUAUGAGUUAAUGGAAUUAGCUCCUCAUAUUCCUAUUGAGAGAUGUCGUUUAGUUCAAUAUAAUUAUGUUGAUAAAGUAAUGGAUCAUUCCUUUGAUCUUGAUGAAUUUCAGCAUCAAACUAUCAGGCAGCUAGUUCUAGGUGGAGCUAGAGGUUAUUAUUCUUUUGCAUUAUUCUUAGAAACUCGUAAAGAAAAUGAAAUCUUUAACAUCUACAAGG